CGGUUGCUGCGGUUCAUGUCGGAAGCGAUCUAUCCUUCUGACCUUAAUUCUCUCGAAGGGAGCUGUCCCUGUCCGUGGCCGUGGCUGCGGGUAUAUGGCGCCCACCUGGUUAUCCGGGUCUGAGGGGAUAAAACAGUCUUUCACGGUCCUCGCGGCGCCGCC
rnacentral:other from 2 species